GCGGCGGGGCUCGGCGCCUUGGGGCUCUUCGGGGACGCGGCGGGUGUCGCCACGGGCGGGAGCGUCGGGGCGACGCUCGGGACCGGCGUGGGCGCGGCGGCCGGUGGCGGCGGGGUGGCGGGGGGAGGGGGCGUGGCGGGAGGCGGCGCCAUGGGCGGAGACGGCGGCGGGGUGGCGGGAGCGGGUGGCGGGCUCGCCGGGGGAGACGGCGGCGGGGUGGUGGGAGCGGGUGGCGGGCUUGCGGGCGGUGACGGAGGCGGCGUGGUGGGCGCUGGAGGAGGAGUGGUCGGCGGGGCCGGGGGCGGCGUCGUGGGAGCCGGGGGAGGAGUGGUCGGUGGUGCCGGGGGCGGCGUGGACGUCGGAGCCGGAGGAGGAGUGGCGGUGGGCGCGGGAGGCGGGUUGCCUGCCGGAGGCGCCUGGGGCGCCGGCGGCGGGUUGCCGGCUGGAGGCGCCUGGGGUGGGGAGUUGGACGGUGGCGCGUUCGGCGUCGGCGGGGGCUGCGCCGGCGGUGACUGCUGCGCUGCGCAGGAGGCGAUCAGGAGCGCGAGCACGAGAGGGCGGAGAAGAGGCGCCAUUUUCGUUCCGUGGGUUCCUUGAGCUGAGCGAGCUCGAGCAGU
rnacentral:lncRNA from 1 species